CUUACCUGGGCUGAGCUUGCGGACAAGGCACUCUGCCAGCCUGCGCCCCUCAGCCAGCUACUCUCAGAGGUCCUGCCCCUGGUGGUUGUCAGGGUCAUCAUCAGUGAGAAGGGCCUUCAGAUGCUGAUUGAGUAAGAGGGAGGCAUCUCUCCCUUCCCAUAACUUCUUCCUUAACUGGGUCAGCUCUCACGCCUGAGAGUGAACUAGGGCUUUGUCAGGGUCCACCCCAAGGACACAAGGAUCCCCAGUACCAAGCUCUCGGCGGCACUUGAUGCUGUCGCUUACGGGUACCACAGUUUCUGGCAGGAGCAGCCUCCUCUUUAGGCUCCUUUAAAGCAGGUGCUCUGUGCUACCAUCACUUCUCCCAGUGCAGCUGGCACAGAGCUUUGCCUAUUGGGCCUCAAAACACUAGGCUGGAACAUAAAGCAGUGAUUUCCUGUACAGUCAGGAAGGCCCCUAGAACUAUGGGACUGGUGGUUCCCUUGUAUUGGGAAUUUCAAGCACAAAUAGGAGCCCAGGAGACUAGCCCAGGGUCCCUCCUCUCCACACUGCACUGUUACCUCAGCAGAGUCUUGGGCACUCCCUUUCUUCCUCUUUAGGAAUAAGAGCCUGUGCUCCAGGAAGCAGGACUUCCUGCAGGAUUUUAUAUGGUACAGAGAGGAUCCUGGUAAAAAUGGUUUAGGCUGUUACUGAGAAAAACAGGAAGUUUUGUGUCUGCAUCAGGCAUCAAUAAUUGGGAUUUUAACU
rnacentral:lncRNA from 1 species